AACAAAAACAUGUCUUUUUGAUAAUAAUUUAAAGUCUGGCCUGCCCAAUGAUUAUUUGAAUGGCUGCGGUAUUUUGACCGUACUAAGGUAGCAUAAUAAUUAGUUUUUUAAUUGAAAGCUGGUAUGAAUGGUUGGACGAGAAAAUAGCUGUCUCAAUUUAAUUUUAAUUAGAAUUUUAUUUUUAAGUAAAAAAGCUUAAAUAAUUUUAAAAGACGAGAAGACCCUAUAGAGUUUUAUAUUUUAUUAUUUUUGUAGGUUUAAAGAAUUUAAUAUUUAAAUGAUAAUAAAAUAUUUUGUUGGGGUGACAAAAAAAUUGAAAUAACUUUUUUUAUAUAAAUUCAUUGAUUUAUGAGUAAGUGAUCCAUUAUUUAUGAUUAAAAGAUUAAAUUACCUUAGGGAUAACAGCGUAAUUUUUUUUGAGAGUUCAAAUCGA
rnacentral:rRNA from 1 species